rnacentral:rRNA from 1 species
AUUGAACGCUGGCGGCAUGCUUUACACAUGCAAGUCGAACGGCAGCGGGGACUUCGGUCCGCCGGCGAGUGGCGAACGGGUGAGUAAUGCAUCGGAACGUGCCUAUCAGUGGGGGAUAACGCUUCGAAAGGAGUGCUAAUACCGCAUAUUCUCUGAGGAGGAAAGCGGGGGGACCUUAGGGCCUUGCGCUGAUAGAGCGGCCGAUGUCGGAUUAGCUAGUUGGUGAGGUAAAGGCUCACCAAGGCGACGAUCCGUAGCGGGUCUGAGAGGAUGAUCCGCCACACUGGGACUGAGACACGGCCUAGACUCCUACGGGAGGCAGCAGUGGGGAAUUUUGGACAAUGGGCGAAAGCCUGAUCCAGCCAUGCCGCGUGAGUGAAGAAGGCCUUCGGGUUGUAAGACGUCUUUUGUUCCGGGUAGGGAAAGUACCUGGCCGUCUAUACAGUCGGGAGUGACAGUACU